GACGAACGCUGGCGGCGUGCUUAACACAUGCAAGUCGAGCGGUAAGGCUCCUUCGGGAGUACACGAGCGGUGAACGGGUGAGUAACACGUGAGCAAUCUGCCCUUCACUUUGGGAUAACCACCGGAAACGGUGGCUAAUACCGAAUACGACCACUUCAGGCAUCUGAUGGUGGUGGAAAGUUCCGGCGGUGAAGGAUGAGCUCGCGGCCUAUCAGCUUGUUGGUGAGGUAAUGGCUCACCAAGGCUUCGACGGGUAGCCGGCCUGAGAGGGUAACCGGCCACACUGGGACUGAGGGAGGGCCCAGACUCCUACGGGAGGCAGCAGUGGGGAAUAUUGGACAAUGGGCGAAAGCCUGAUCCAGCAACGCCGCGUGAGGGAUGACGGCCUUCGGGUUGUAAACCUCUUUCAGCGGGGACGAAGCGAAAGUGACGGUACCCGCAGAAGAAGGACCGGCCAACUACGUGCCAGCAGCCGCGGUAACAC
rnacentral:rRNA from 1 species